UUAAAUUGAAGAGUUUGAUCAUGGCUCAGAUUGAACGCUGGCGGCAGGCCUAACACAUGCAAGUCGAACGGUAACAGGAAACAGCUUGCUGUUUCGCUGACGAGUGGCGGACGGGUGAGUAAUGUCUGGGAAACUGCCUGAUGGAGGGGGAUAACUACUGGAAACGGUAGCUAAUACCGCAUAAC
rnacentral:rRNA from 1 species